rnacentral:rRNA from 1 species
UAGGGAAUCUUCCGCAAUGGACGCAAGUCUGACGGAGCAACGCCGCGUGAGUGAAGAAGGAUUUCGGUUCGUAAAACUCUGUUGUUAGAGAAGAACAGCGCAUAGAGUAACUGUUAUGCGUGUGACGGUAUCUAACCAGAAAGCCACGGCUAACUACGUGCCAGCAGCCGCGGUAAUACGUAGGUGGCAAGCGUUGUCCGGAUUUAUUGGGCGUAAAGCGAGCGCAGGCGGUCAAUUAAGUCUGAUGUGAAAGCCCCGGGCUCAACCGGGGAGGGUCAUUGGAAACUGGUUGACUUGAGUGCAGAAGAGGAGGGUGGAAUUCCAGGUGUAGCGGUGAAAUGCGUAGAUAUAUGGAGGAACACCAGUGGCGAAGGCGACUCUCUGGUCUGUAACUGACGCUGAGGCUCGAAAGCGUGGGUAGCAAACAGG